AAGUCGUAACAAGGUUUCCGUAGGUGAACCUGCGGAAGGAUCAUUAACACGUAUCCGAACGUAAAAAAAACCCUGUGCAUCUUCAUUGGUUGGUUUGCGAACGACUCUAGCGCCAGCCUGCAAUAAUUACUGACCUGGCACUCUAAGCAAUCAAUGUUCUGUCAGUGUACAUUGGUUGUAACGGGUGGCGGCUUCACCGAUCGUUAGAGGCCCACACGGCCGACGACUG
rnacentral:misc_RNA from 1 species